rnacentral:rRNA from 1 species
UAUUGGUCAAUGGGCGCAAGCCUGAACCAGCCAAGUCGCGUGAGGGAAGACGGUCCUAUGGANUGUAAACCUCUUUUGUCGGGGANNAANNNGNGGUACGAGUACCGCGAAGGAGAGUACCCGAAGAAAANNNANCNGCUAACUCCGUGCCAGCAGCCGCGGUAAUACGGAGGAUGCGAGCGUUAUCCGGAUUUAUUGGGUUUAAAGGGUGCGUAGGCGGAUUUGUAAGUCAGCGGUAAAAAUGCGGUGCUCAACGCCGUAUCGCCGUUGAAACUGCAGGUCUUGAGUGAGCGAGAAGUAUGCGGAAUGCGUGGUGUAGCGGUGAAAUGCAUAGAUAUCACGCAGAACUCCGAUUGCGAAGGCAGCAUACCGGCGCUCAACUGACGCUGAGGCACGAAAGCGUGGGGAUCG